CAGGCGCCGCUCACUGUUAUUGUAUCAUGCGUGCAGCGGUCGCUUGAGUUUGCGUCACUUCCGGUGUGUGUGCCGGGCCGGAAGCGGACGGGUGCGGAGCUCGGUGGUGAGCGCAGGGAGAAACCGGUUCUACAUAUUCCUUCCCUGGUUUGGCAGUGAGAGGCGCGCAGUCCUCAGGGGGGCGCUAUGGUGUUCUACUUCACUAGCAGUGUUGUCUCUCCGCCGUAUACGAUAUACAUGGGAAAAGACAAGUACGAAAAUGAGGAUCUUAUAAAAUACGGCUGGCUGGAAGAUAUAUGGUUCCAUGUGGAUAAGCUUUCCUCCGCUCAUGUUUACCUGCGACUACAUAAGGUAACUAUAACUGUAUAAGGACAGGUGAGGCGUGAAGGGAGCGCACGCUGUGU